rnacentral:rRNA from 1 species
UGCAUCGACGAGAGCGACCGGUUCGCUACAGAAGAUGCAGUCGACGAGAGCGACCGGUGCUUGCACUGGUCAAUCUAGUGGCGAACGUUCUCAGGAACACGUGGGUAACCUGCCCAUCAGAGGGGGAUAACAUCCGGAAACGGAUGCUAAAACCGCAUAGAUCUUCGAGCCGCAUGGCUUGAAGAGGAAAAGAGGCGCAAGCUUCUGCUGAUGGAUGGACCCGCGGUGCAUUAGCUAGUUGGUGAGGUAACGGCUCACCAAGGCCGUGAUGCAUAGCCGACCUGAGAGGGUGAUCGGCCACAUUGGGACUGAGACACGGCCCAAACUCCUACGGGAGGCAGCAGUAGGGAAUCUUCCGCAAUGGACGCAAGUCUGACGGAGCAACGCCGCGUGAGUGAAGAAGGUUUUCGGAUCGUAAAGCUCUGUUGUUAGAGAAGAACAAGUGCUAGAGUAACUGUUAGCGCCUUGACGGUAUCUAACCAGAAAGCCACGGCUAACUACGUGCCAGCAGCCGCGGUAAUACGUGGGUGGCAAGCGUUGUCCGGAUUUAUUGGGCGUAAAGCGAGCGCAGGCGGUUCCUUAAGUCUGAUGUGAAAGCCCCCGGCUCAACCGGGGAGGGUCAUUGGAAACUGGGGAACUUGAGUGCAGAAGAGGAGAGUGGAAUUCCAUGUGUAGCGGUGAAAUGCGUAGAUAUAUGGAGGAACACCAGUGGCGAAGGCGACUCUCUGGUCUGUAACUGACGCUGAGGCUCGAAAGCGUGGGUAGCAAACAGGAUUAGAUACCCUGGUAGUCCACGCCGUAAACGAUGAGUGCUAAGUGUUGGAGGGUUUCCGCCCUUCAGUGCUGCAGUUAACGCAUUAAGCACUCCGCCUGGGGAGUACGACCGCAAGGUUGAAACUCANAGGAAUUGACGGGGACCCGCACAAGCGGUGAGCAUAUGGUUUAAUUCGAAGCAACGCGAAAACCUUACCAAGUCUUGACAUCCUUUGACCACUCUAGAGAUAGAGCUUUCCCUUCGGGGAAAAGUGACGGGUGCAUGGGUCGUCAGCUCGUGUCGUGAGAUGUGGGUUAAGUCCCGCAACGAGCGCAACCCUUAUUACUAGUUGCCAGCAUUCAGUUGGGCACUCUAGUGAGACUGCCGGUGACAAACCGGAGGAAGGUGGGGAUGACGUCAAAUCAUCAUGCCCCUUAUGACUUGGGCUGGGCUAC